rnacentral:lncRNA from 1 species
AUCGACUUAUCAGUGAGUGGGCAGUUUUGUUUUCGUAUUACCUAUAUACAACUGUUUUUUCCCAGAAAAUGCGUUUAUAUGAAAAUUAUGAUUUAAAUUGCCGUGCAUGCAAAUGUUGAGAUAUUUAGUUUGAUAAUCGAUGGAUAUAUAUGUUAAUUGACUCGGUGGACGCACAGGUGAGUUUUUAUAUUAUUCAAAUGAGUUAUUUUAUGAGAAUUGCAUUGAAAGCUCAUAACCUGCACCUUAGGUGUUAGUGCUUAUAUUAUUAUUCACCACACCGCACGCUCGUCUUGGAUCCAAGUAGGUGGAUGUCGUACAGACCAUGUGAAGGUUCCGACAUGCUAGUCGUAUAGAUCACUAGAUGUGAUUCCGACUAGUGGGUGACCUUAGUUAUGCGCG